GGGUCUUUAUAACGGUGGCCUACGCGCGCUUGGAGGUAGCAAAUCCUACCUAAAUCGCGUUUGGUCGCUCGAUUGGCUUCGGUAGGUGUCCGGUUCAGUUACGAUCCAAGGAAGAAGACAGCUGACGUGCGGGGCCCGGCUAACAGUGGGAAGAAGAGAAGGGAAGCUCGGCUUGGGCCGGCCUGUUGCGUUUCGGGCCGAAGAGGAGAGGGGAAGGUUUUUUUCCUUUUUUCUUUUGCUUGUUCUCCUUUUAUUUCAAAGCCUUUUCAAAACAAUUUAAAAUCAGUUUGAAAAUAUUUUGACUUUGCCCAAAUUCACACAAUACAAUGAAAAUAAAUGCUCCAAAAUGAAUGCACAAACAAGUUGCUAAAUCCUAUGAUAAAUUUUAUUCAAAUGAAAAAUAUUAUUUUCCUAUAUUUUCAUGAGCACAAAAUACAAAAUUAAAUCAAAUUAGCUUU
rnacentral:lncRNA from 1 species